rnacentral:rRNA from 1 species
UCAUUAGUUUUUUAAUUGAAAGCUUGUAUGAAUGGUUUGAUGAGAAAAUUUCUUUCUAUAUUUAAUUUUUAAAUAAUUUUAUUUUUAAGUUAAAAAGCUUAAAUAUUAAUAAAAGACGAGAAGACCCUAUAGAGUUUAAUAUAAUUUAAUAUUUAAAAAUUUAGAAUUUAUUAUUAUAUAAUAUUAUCUUGUAUUUGAUUGGGGUGAUUAAAAAAUUAAAAUAACUUUUUUUAAAAAAAAACAUUAAUUUAUGAGUAUUUGAUCCAUAUAAAUGAUUAAAAGAAUAAAUUACCUUAGGGAUAACAGCGUUAUUUUUUUUUAGAGUUCUAAUCGAAAAAAGAGAUUGCGACCUCGAUGUUGGAUUAAAGUUAAUUUUAGGUGCAGAAGCUUAAA